rnacentral:rRNA from 1 species
GAUGAACGCUGGCGGCGUGCCUAAUACAUGCAAGUCGGGCGAACAGAUGAGAAGCUUGCUUCUCUGAUGUUAGCGGCGGACGGGUGAGUAACACGUGGGUAACCUACCUAUAAGACUGGGAUAACUCCGGGAAACCGGGGCUAAUACCGGAUAAUAUUUUGAACCGCAUGGUUCAAUAGUGAAAGACGGUUUCGGCUGUCACUUAUAGAUGGACCCGCGCCGUAUUAGGUAGUUGGUAAGGUAACGGCUUACCAAGGCGACGAUACGUAGCCGACCUGAGAGGGUGAUCGGCCACACUGGAACUGAGACACGGUCCAGACUCCUACGGGAGGCAGCAGUAGGGAAUCUUCCGCAAUGGGCGAAAGCCUGACGGAGCAACGCCGCGUGAGUGAUGAAGGUCUUCGGAUCGUAAAACUCUGUUGUUAGGGAAGAACAAAUUUGUUAGUAACUGAACAAGUCUUGACGGUACCUAACCAGAAAGCCACGGCUAAAUACGUGCCAGCAGCCGCCGUAA